AGCAGAACUCUGUGCCCUGAAACUCACCAU
rnacentral:piRNA from 1 species